rnacentral:lncRNA from 1 species
CAUCUCAAACAAAAUUUGGAUAAGAUAAUACAAAUUUAUCAAUAACAUAAGCAAAUAAAGAUACUUAUCUCAUUGCCUAAUCUCUAUCCUUCUCUCAAACUUUCUAACGAACCUAAGAAUCUUAACAGUUAAGCUCCAUACGACUAUUUCAAUCACGAUCCCUAGUAAUCUUAACUUAAACUUUGAUACCACCAAAUCUAUCACGCCACGAUCCCGAAGGGCUAUAGAUGUUGCAUACCUAUAUGGUGGGCCAUCCAGGCAUGCAAGGCUAUAGAUCAUAUCAAAGUAAAUUCUAAAAAUUUAUUUAAUCAAUAAUUUAUUCAAAUUAUUUUGACAAUAGUUUCAAUAUAAUAUGUGCUAACAUAAAUCAAAUAUUCUAACUAGUCUAACUAAAAUGCUAAUAAUUGAAAGAAUUUUCAGAAAAUCUAGAGCACUCUUCAGUCCUAUGCGAUCAUGUAUCUUGAUCUAAAAAUAGAGAAAAUAUGAUGAUGAGCUACACUAGCCUACUAAGCAACAUAAUACCCCAAAGUGGGGUUAUUUUCCUUUUUCAGCCACCGAUAUUACCGCUUCUGAUGCUGGACCCUUGAUCUGCUCCUCUAGCUCUCACCUAUCCUUCUCAGCAAAGCAAUGGCCACCAAUGAGCGGCCAACAACCAAAAAUAAUGAAGAACCUCCAAUUUUCUAUUUUUGUUGAUAUUGGCACUACCGACCGCCAGGCACCGCCGACCGCCUGUUGGUUAGCCAUGAGUCCCUCAACUCGAGGCACCACCACAACCACCCUUUCUCUC